GCAUUCGUGGCCGAGUGGUUAAGGCGAUGGACCAGAAAUCCAUUGGGGUCUCCACGCACAGGUUCCAAUCCCGUCGACUGCG
rfam:Ixodes scapularis strain Wikel colony gcontig_1108378632238, whole genome shotgun sequence.